AGUGAACGCUGGCGGUAGGCCUAACACAUGCAAGUCGAACGGCAGCACAGUAAGAGCUUGCUCUUACGGGUGGCGAGUGGCGGACGGGUGAGGAAUACAUCGGAAUCUACUUUUUCGUGGGGGAUAACGUAGGGAAACUUACGCUAAUACCGCAUAAGACCUACGGGUGAAAGCAGGGGAUCUUCGGACCUUGCGCGAUUGAAUGAGCCGAUGUCGGAUUAGCUAGUUGGCGGGGUAAAGGCCCACCAAGGCGACGAUCCGUAGCUGGUCUGAGAGGAUGAUCACCCACACUGGAACUGAGACACGGUCCAGACUCCUACGGGAGGCAGCAGUGGGGAAUAUUGGACCAUGGGCGCAAGCCUGAUCCAGCCAUACCGCGUGGGUGAAGAAGGCCUUCGGGUUGUAGAGCCCUUUUGUUGGGAAAGAAAAGCAGCAGGUUAAUACCCCGCUGUUCUGACGGUACCCAAAGAAUAAGCACCGGCUAACUUCGUG
rnacentral:rRNA from 1 species